CGGAAUAUCCGAGCCAAUGACCUUGUUAAGGUGAAAUGGCUCGGAAUAAAUUCUUCCUCCUUGCGGUGUUGUCCUUCCUUUCAGAAUAUCCGAGCCAAGGACCUUGUUAAGGUGAAAUGGCUCGCAAUAAAUUCUUCCUCCUUGCGGUGUUGUCCUUUCUUUCAGAAUAUCCGAGCCAAGGACCUUGUUAAGGUGAAAUGGCUCGGAAUAAAUUCUUCCUCCUUACGGUGUUGUCCUUUCUUUCAGAAUAUCAGAGCCAAGGACCUUAUUAAGGUGAAAUGGCUCGGAAUAAAUUCUUCCUCCUUGCUGUGUUUCCCUUCCUGUCAGAAUAUCCGAGCCAAGAUCCUUGUUAAGGUGAAAUGGCUCGGAAUAAAU
rnacentral:lncRNA from 1 species